rnacentral:rRNA from 1 species
GUGUCAGCAGCCGCGGUAAUACGUAGGUGGCAAGCGUUGUCCGGAUUUAUUGGGCGUAAAGCGCGCGCAGGUGGUUUCUUAAGUCUGAUGUGAAAUCCCACGGCUUAACUGUGGAGCGGCAUUGGAAACUGGGAGACUUGAGUGCAGAAGAGGAAAGUAGAAUUCCAAGUGUAGCGGUGAAAUGCGUAGAGAUUUGGAAGAAUACCAGUGGAGAAGGCGGCUUUCUGGUCUGAAACUGACGCUGAGGCGUGAAAGCGUGGGGAGCAAACAGGAUUAGAUACCCUGGUAGUCCAUGCCGUAAACGAUGAGUGCUAAGUGUUAGGGGUUU